GGGAAAGGGGAACCUUUAUUCACUGUUGGUGGGAUUGCAAAGUGAGCAGAAAUCAGUGUGGAGAUUUCUGAAAAAAGGUAAAAAUAAAUGUACCACUCCUUGCAUAUGCUCAAAGAAUUCUACAUCCUGCUCCACAGAUACUUACUUGUUCAGCCAUGCUCACUGUCACUGUAUUCACAAUAGCUACAAAACUCAAGCAAUCUAAGUGUCUGUUAGCUGAAACCUAGCCAACUACCCAGGGUUAGUGAGGCCAUGAUCUUACAGGAGAACAUAUUACUGCUACUUUACUAAACCAACAUGGUCCCUAAAUACAUCCUAAAUACUUCUACUCAUACAUAAGUAUAGUGUCUCAUUCCUCACCAAAGAAACUUUUCUUUGCAGUAGAUGGAAACCAGUAAAGAAAACCCCAAGUACUCAAAGUUCAACAAGCAAUGCACUAUGGGGUGCCUAGCCCAGAUAUACCACCAAUACAACUCCUGAGCAAGGCUCAGGGAACAUCUUGGAAGAAGGCAUGGGGAGGUGAUAGAAGCUGGAAGACCAGGAGGGAUUGUAUCUACUAGAAAUAACGGUGCAGCUUCAACCAUGAUUCUUCAACAAUAUGGCUGCCUAAAGAAGACCAGAAUAAAGGCAGCAGCAAUAGACAUGCUAACACAGAAGGGGAAAGACACUGUUGAGAGGGAUCCCAGAGAGGGAGGGAGAGAACGAAGGAACUAGUCCUCUCCAAGGAUGAGCCUCUCAACUGGUUAUCCAAUAUCAAGUAGUCAGCCCUGAAAGCAUAUACAUACAAGCAACCCUAAAUGAAUCCAGCAGGUUGUAUGUAUGUAUGUAUGUGAGUGAUUAUACAACAAUAAAAAAAGAGGUCAUGAAUUUGAGAGGAGGAAGUCAUGUAAUUGCUUUUGAGAUGGCUACUCAGGCAAAUCACCAUUAAGAUUGAACAACCUGAGUUCAAUCUCUGGGAAUCACAUGGUAGGAGGAGAAAACCUACUCCAAAAAGGUGUCCUCUGAUCUCCACACAGUAAUGUAAUAUAAUCAAAUAUAAAAAUGAUAUAAACACCACAGUAAGAGUUAAUUUAAUUUACCUGGACCCUUGGGGACUCUCACAGACUAAACUACCAAACAAAGAGCAUGGACCUACACCUCCUGGCACAUAUGUAGCAAAUGUAUCGCUUGGUCUUCAUGUGGGUCCCCUAACACUGGAGCAGGAGAUGUCCCUAAAUCAGUUGCCUGCCUGUGGAUCCUCUUCCCCUAAUUGAGCUGCCCUGUUUGGCCUCAGUGGGAGAGGAUGCACCUAGCCAGGAUGGAGGGAUACCCAAGGCUUCCUCCACUCUCUCAGAGGACAAGAGGAGGGAGGAGGGACUAUUUGAGGCAAGGGACUGGGAGGUGGUGUAGUUACUGAGAUGUAAAGUAAAUGAAUAAAUAAUUAUGG
rnacentral:lncRNA from 1 species